ensembl:misc_RNA 7SK 7SK RNA
GGAUGUGAGGGUGAUCUGGCUUUGACAUCUAUCACCCUAUUGAUCACCAGGGCUGAGUUGGCUGAUCUGGCUGGCUAGGCGGGUGUCCCUGUCCUCCCUCAGUGCUCCACGUAUGUCCCUCCCAAAGAUGUGUGCUCAGUUGAAGAGGACAACCAUCUCCUAUAGACGAGGACCAGCCUUUGGUCAAGGGUAUAUGAGUAGCUGCACUGCUCUGCUAGAACCUGCAGACAAACCCUCAAGAACUAGGGAGAGGAGAGUGAAAACCUAGUUAUAAUGAUUGUAUCUUUACAUUCUUUUAUAGAUUUCAAAUUACUUCU